CCAAUGUUCCCUCUAAGCUGCGCGCGUGCGCGGCCGCGCAGGCCAGCCAAAGUGGCCGCGCAAUAGAUUUGUCAGACCGCGCACAUUUUUCAGACCGCACAUAAACAUUGAUGCAUUUGCUGUUGUAAAAGAAUUAAGAGAGAGAGAAGGCGAGUGUUGUAGAAGGAGAAGAAACUUUCAACCAAUCGCUGAUCUUGCUACGGUGACAGACACUUUUAUGAGCCAAUGGUAGCAGCGCAUUCAGUUCACACACAGGUGCCGCUGCCAGCACAGAGUGAAAGCGAGUCAGAUGAGCAGCUGCACGGGGCGAUCUCAAGAAACUAAAAUAUUUAUUAAGAGGAAAAAGUGAUUCAAAACAGUGAUUUAAAACAAAUUAUUGGAUUCCUGAAGUGAUGCGAUAACUUGGAAAAGCUGUCGCUAGAGUGAGGAGAGAACAAAAUAAAGAAUUAGAACGGAGGCAGAUGCAGAAUCACAGAGCAUCAAAACACUGCGAAUGAACUUCUUCUUUUAAAUAAGAAGUUAAAAUGUAUGCUUUGGCUGGGUUUUUUUGUGAGAAUUUCGAACAUCUGUAAAGUUCUCCUGCUCCAUCUUGGACACGCGAGACAAUUAAGUGAAGGUGUAUACAAAAAGGCGAGCCAACCAGAACUGUGCUUUGAAUUCAUCAGAACUGUGGGAUAAAUGGACUGUUACAAUCCAUGAUUUCUCAUCAUGACAUAAGAAAGAGAGCGAGAGAGAUUCACCUUUAUGGGCACAGCGACAGAACUGCAGGGCCGAAUGUUGCAGAGUCGG